rnacentral:rRNA from 1 species
UACGUAGGCAGCGAGCGUUGUUCGGAGUUACUGGGCGUAAAGAGUGCGUAGGCGGUUUUCUAAGUUUGGUGUGAAAUCUCCCGGCUCAACUGGGAGGGUGCGCCGAAUACUGAGGGACUUCGAGUGCGGGAGAGGAAAGUGGAAUUCCUGGUGUAGCGGUGAAAUGCGUAGAUAUCAGGAGGAACACCGGUGGUGUAGACGGCUUUCUGGACCGUAACUGACGCUGAGACACGAAAGCGUGGGUAGCAAACAGG